AAGGAGGGGGCUCCCUUGGGCAGGGAAACAGAUCAGUGUCACUGGAGGGGACAGCAGAGAGCAGGGAUUCCUGGGACUGAGGACUGGGCAGCAGCCAAGAUGAAAUUCUGAGUGUAAGCACUGGAGGCAGGUGGGGAAUCGUGAGACUGGAGGGUAAGGGAAGGCUGGGGGUAAAAAGGUAGGGGGCAGCUGCGAGAGGCUGGGCGUGGGCCAAGUUGGAAGGCGAGGAAGGAAUCGGGAGGACAGGGCCCAGCUGUGUUGCCAGAGGAUCUUGCUGGCUGUGUCUGGGCAGCCUCUCUGGGAAGUGCCCAGGGUUGAGUGGGGCUUGAAUGUGACAUUCUCCUUUGGGUCUUACAGGAACUAACUGAGGAGCUGCCUCAGGACUGUGGGCCCAGCUCUGUCCUCUCCUGCUCUAUGGACCGCAUGUGAAACCUCCCGUACCAGAACUCUCGCCCGGCUCCCCCAGCUUAGGUGCUGCUCAGACCCAGAGACGUUGCCUCCUCCAUGGCCAGGUUCUCCUCCACCUCCUGAACAGCCUGCGGUGAUGGGAUAUAACAAGUGGUGACGACGGAUGGGAUUCCGGUGUUGCUCCAGUAACAGAAGGAAGUAGAAGUCAAGGACAGUGAUGGACGGCUGCUGCUCUCUUAACAUUGGACGUCAGGGACGGACUUCGAUACUUGACACAGGAACGGGUG